AUGAUGCAUAGCCCGAGUUGAGAGACUGAUCGGGCCACAUUGGGACUGAGACACGGGCCAAAACUCCUACGGGGAGGCAGCAGUAGGAAUCUUCCACAAUGGACGCAAGUCUGAUGGAGCAACGCCGCGUGAGUGAAGAAGGGUUUCGGCUCGUAAAAGCUCUGUUGUUGGUGAAGAAGGACAGGGGUAGUAACUGACCUUUGUUUGACGGUAAUCAAUUAGAAAGUCACGGCUAACUACGUGCCAGCAGCCGCAGUAAU
rnacentral:rRNA from 1 species